ACUAUAUACAGUUAACCUAGAUUCAUCAACAGUCGUCAGUCUUGUUUGAAACAGAUAACAGAGUUUCGAAAAUUUGCAUAAUAUGUACAUGACUAUUAUUUUAUAAACCACUAUAAUUUUAAUUCGUGUUUUUACUGUUGGUUAUGGUAUUAGUUAUAAAAUGAAGUAGCAAUAAUGUAGCAUACCUAAUAAAAAAAUCUUUAUUAUAACAAGAAAGAAACUGACUUAUAUGUUGAUAACAAUAGCAUUAGGUACUACUACUGCCUAUAUCGUACCUAUAUUUUGAGUUUUCUGUGGAGAACGAAUGGCUCAAGUUAAUGAAGCUAAUGAAAUAUCAAAAACCUACCAAAAAUAAAAAUGCCAUUUAUGUCUGCCUGUCACCACAUAGAAAGCUUUCCGAAAGACACAAUUCCUUGGUAAGUAGUUCCUCACUUUACUUGAUUAUUGGUUUAUAUAGUGUCUCAAAAAGGAUGUUAAGUUUUUAGAAUUACUGUGAAGGUAGUGAUUUCAAUGUUUUAAUGUUUCUACAC